rnacentral:lncRNA from 1 species
CUUGACCUGGGAAUCCUGCCAUCCACCACAUGGAAAGGCCACUGUGCAUGUUCUGGCCCCAAGCCUAGCUGGCAGUCAGCCUUGACCACCCACCAUCAAUAUCAUCAGCAGCAGCCUUGUGACACCAAAUACAGGAAGCCCUGAAAGGCACGGGGGGAAUCCCCUCGGGGGUAGCUUCCAGACCACGGCCGGCUGGAAGUUGGUGAUAAUGCCCUGUCCUCCCCUGCCUCCCUGGAGCUGGUUCUGAGCUGACUGCAACCAGUCUUAUCUUGGAGUCUAGUGUUGGGGAAAAUCAAGAUGCUGCUGUCAUCUGGUCAUUUCCAGCUCCUUGUGUCAAACAAACAGCAAACAAGAAAGGAGUCACUCCCAUGGGGAAGCCAGCUGCCUUGUUAGGUGGACACUGUGGAGAGGCCUCCAUGGCAAGGAAUGAGUGCUGCCCACACCAUGCGGCGAGCUUGGGAGUGGAUCCCGUUACAGACAGCUUGAUGCAUCCUCAUGAGAGACCCUGAGCCAGAGCCACGCAGCCUAGCUGCUCCUGGAUUCCUGAUCCAUGGAAACUAAAUUAGAUUAUAGAGCCUGAGAAGUCCCAUGGUCUGCCAUCUGCAAGCUGAAGAACCAGGAAAGCUGGUGGUGUAAUUCAAUCCGAGUCCAAAGGCCUGAGUACUAAGGGAGCCAAUGGUUUAAGUCCCUGUCUGAGUCUGAAGGCCCAAGAACCAGGAGCGCCAAUGUCCAAGGGCAGGAGAAGAUGGAUGUCCCAGUUCAAGCAGAGAGCAAAUUCACCCUUCCUCUGCCUUUUUGUUCCAUUCAGGCCUCAAUGGAUUGGAUGAUGCCCACCCACAUUAAUAAGGGC